CUUAAGCAGCGGGCACUAGCUUUCGUUUCUUGUUCUGAUACUCCAUGUAAUAGAGGACAAGUUUCACUUUGCCAUCAAGAAUCUAAAAUCUUUGUUUCUGCAUUGUGGAGUCUGCAUUUACAGCUCAGAAUGAAGAUGCCAACUUUUGGUAAGAAUUAAUUUUAAUAUGUUGAGUUACUUGGACUAAUUUUUGAAUAAAAACCAGCUCUUCUCUGUCAAGAAUUCACCACUUUCGUUGUAUGAUUUGCGUUUUCUUCAAUUUUAAGAAUAAUAGUAUCUCUUUGUGAUAUAAACUACUCCAUAAAAUGACCAAUGGCAUUGUUAUACUACUGUUAGUCUGUUAGUACUAGUUAUGGGGUGAAGAGGUUUCAUCCUUGUCACCAAGUUGGAUUUAGGAUCCACACAAAAAGUGCAGAAGUUUAAGGGUUGAAGAAAUAGGAUGCUGCUUUGACAAAAGGAAAGAAUUACGAGGGCUAGACAAUCUUAACUACUGUUGUUGUCUUCUUUUUCCUUUUUUGUAAUAUAGUACCUAAAAUUUUAUGAUAACUGACUGCAUUUUUGGUAGCCUAAUAUAUGGAUUGUGAUAACUGAUUGUAUUUUUGAUAGCCUCAUCAUACCGCUUCUCGUUCAAUUCUUUCGAAUUCAUUGAAUCCCUUUCUGCGUUUGAGAAUUCCCUCCCUUCUUACACUUCGUCUCGAAGAGUAAAGUAACUUGGACCAAUUUAGUCAUCUUUUCAUGUUCCAAUUGAACAUUUUCCACUUUUUAUUAUCCUCAAGAGAGAAGAUUAUUCUUUUUAAC
rnacentral:lncRNA from 1 species